UGAGGAGCCAUGGGUUCUGGACAUUCCCAG
rnacentral:piRNA from 1 species